UACGAAUGGGGCUAGCGUUGUUCGGAAUCACUGGGCGUAAAGCGUACGUAGGCGGAUCGUUAAGUCAGGGGUGAAAGCCUGGAGCUCAACUCCAGAACUGCCUUUGAUACUGGCGAUCUUGAGACCGGGAGAGGUGAGUGGAACUGCUAGUGUAGAGGUGAAAUUCGUAGAUAUUAGCAAGAACACCAGUGGCGAAGGCGGCUCACUGGCCCGGUACUGACGCUGAGGUACGAAAGCGUGGGGAGCAAACAGG
rnacentral:rRNA from 1 species